UACGGAGGGUGCAAGCGUUAUCCGGAUUCACUGGGUUUAAAGGGUGCGUAGGUGGGCAGUUAAGUCAGUGGUGAAAUCUCCGGGCUUAACCCGGAAACUGCCAUUGAUACUAUCAGUCUUGAAUACCGUGGAGGUAAGCGGAAUAUGUCAUGUAGCGGUGAAAUGCUUAGAUAUGACAUAGAACACCAAUUGCGAAGGCAGCUUACUACCCGAAUAUUGACACUGAGGCACGAAAGCGUGGGGAUCAAACAGG
rnacentral:rRNA from 1 species